rnacentral:rRNA from 1 species
GACGAACGCUGGCGGCGUGCCUAAUACAUGCAAGUAGAACGCUGAAGAGAGGAGCUUGCUCUUCUUGGAUGAGUUGCGAACGGGUGAGUAACGCGUAGGUAACCUGCCUUGUAGCGGGGGAUAACUAUUGGAAACGAUAGCUAAUACCGCAUAACAAUGGAUGACACAUGUCAUUUAUUUGAAAGGGGCAAUUGCUCCACUACAAGAUGGACCUGCGUUGUAUUAGCUAGUAGGUGAGGUAAUGGCUCACCUAGGCGACGAUACAUAGCCGACCUGAGAGGGGGAUCGGCCACACUGGGACUGAGACACGGCCCAGACUCCUACGGGAGGCAGCAGUAGGGAAUCUUCGGCAAUGGGGGCAACCCUGACCGAGCAACGCCGCGUGAGUGAAGAAGGUUUUCGGAUCGUAAAGUUCUGUUGUAAGUCAAGAACGGGUGUGAGAGUGGAAAGUUCACACUGUGACGGUAGCUUACCAGAAAGGGACGGCUAACUACGUG